UGGGGAAUAUUGCACAAUGGGCGAAAGCCUGAUGCAGCGACGCCGCGUGAGUGAAGAAGUAUUUCGGUAUGUAAAGCUCUAUCAGCAGGGAAGAAAAUGACGGUACCUGACUAAGAAGCCCCGGCUAACUACGUGCCAGCAGCCGCGGUAAUACGUAGGGGGCAAGCGUUAUCCGGAUUUACUGGGUGUAAAGGGAGCGUAGACGGCGAAGCAAGUCUGAAGUGAAAACCCAGGGCUCAACCCUGGGAGUGCUUUGGAAACUGUUUUGCUAGAGUGUCGGAGAGGUAAGUGGAAUUCCUAGUGUAGCGGUGAAAUGCGUAGAUAUUAGGAGGAACACCAGUGGCGAAGGCGGCUUACUGGACGAUAACUGACGUUGAGGCUCGAAAGCGUGGGGAGCAAACAGG
rnacentral:rRNA from 1 species